UACGAAGGGGGCUAGCGUUGUUCGGAAUCACUGGGCGUAAAGCGCAGGCAGGCGGAUUGAUAAGUCAGGGGUGAAAUCCCGGAGCUCAACUUCGGAAUUGCCUUUGAUACUGUCUGUCUUGAGUCCGGGAGAGGUGAGUGGAAUUCCCGGUGUAGCGGUGAAAUGCGUAGAUAUCCGGAGGAACACCGGUGGCGAAGGCGGCUUCCUGGACCGACACUGACGCUGCGGCGCGAAAGCUAGGGGAGCAAACGGG
rnacentral:rRNA from 1 species